GCUUACACAUGCAGUCGAACGGUCUUUUCGGAGAUAGUGGCGGACGGGUGAGUAACGCGUAAGAAUCUACCUUCAGGUUGGGGACAACCAGUGGAAACGGUGGCUAAUACCCAAUGUGCCGAGAGGUGAAAGGCUUGCUGCCUGAAGAAGAGCUUGCGUCUGAUUAGCUAGUUGGUGGGGUAAGAGCCUACCAAGGCGACGAUCAGUAGCUGGUCUGAGAGGAUGAUCAGCCACACUGGGACUGAGACACGGCCCAGACUCCUACGGGAGGCAGCAGUGGGGAAUUUUCCGCAAUGGGCGAAAGCCUGACGGAGCAAUACCGCGUGAGGGAGGAAGGCUCUUGGGUUGUAAACCUCUUUUCUCAGGGAAGAACAAAAUGACGGUACCUGAGGAAUAAGCAUCGGCUAACUCCGUGCCAGCAGCCGCGGUAAUACGGAGGAUGCAAGCGUUAUCCGGAAUGAUUGGGCGUAAAGGGUCCGCAGGUGGCAUUGUAAGUCUGCUGUUAAAGAGUUUGGCUCAACCAAAUAAAAGCAGUGGAAACUACAAAGCUAGAGUGUGGUCGGGGCAGAAGGAAUUCCUGGUGUAGCGGUGGAAUGCGUAGAUAUCAGGAAGAACAUCGGUGGCGAAGCGCUCUGCUUAGGGCCAAGACUGACUCUUGAGGGACGAAAGCUUAGGCGAGCGAAAUGGGGAUUAGAUACCCCAGUU
rnacentral:rRNA from 1 species